UAUAGAGUCACUUUGCAUCAGCAGCUCCAUGCUCCAGCGCUCUGGGAGAGUUUAUAGUCCUGACAGUUGAACUCUGGAUGACUGACAGCUGUCCUUCAUCACAACAGAAGACACAGAAAUCCUCCUCAUCAAAAACAUGACUUUGAUCUGCGUCCUCAUCUGGACUCUCCUCUGCUGCUGCUUCACAGAGGUCAGAGGUCAGGUCACAGUGACACAACCUUCAGCGGUAAAUACCGGCAUUGGAGACUCGGCCAGCAUCAGCUGUAAAACCAGUCAAGCUGUACACUAUGACGGAGCAGACUAUUUUUUAGCAUGGUACCAAAUGAAGGACACGGAACCUCCUAAAAUGCUCAUUUACUGGGGAAAUCACAGAGCAUCAGGGAUUCCAAAUCGUUUUACAGGAAGUGGAUCAAACUCAGACUUCACUCUGACCAUCAGUGGAGUUCAGGCUGAAGAUGCAGGAGUUUAUUACUGUCAGAGUUAUCAUUACAUCAACAGUCAGUGGGUGUUCACACAGUGA